rnacentral:rRNA from 1 species
UACGUAGGGGGCUAGCGUUGUCCGGAAUCAUUGGGCGUAAAGCGCGUGUAGGCGGUCCGGUAAGUCCGCUGUGAAAGUCGAGGGCUCAACCCUCGAAUGCCGGUGGAUACUGUCGGGCUUGAGUACGGGAGAGGCGAGUGGAAUUCCUGGUGUAGCGGUGAAAUGCGCAGAUAUCAGGAGGAACACCAAUUGCGAAGGCAGCGCGCUGGGACGUUACUGACGCUGAGACGCGAAAGCCAGGGGAGCAAACGGG